UACGUAGGAGGCGAGCGUUGUCCGGAGUUACUGGGCGUAAAGGGUGCGCAGGCGGCGGUUCGCGUGGCGAGAUGAAAUCUCCUGGCUUACCUGGGAGGAUGGUCGCCAGACGGGAUCGCUUGAGGGUCGGAGAGGGGCGUGGAAUUCCCGGUGUAGCGGUGAAAUGCGCAGAUAUCGGGAAGAACACCCGUGGCGAAGGCGGUUCUCUGGGACGGUACUGACGCUGAGACGCGAAAGCGUGGGGAGCGAACAGG
rnacentral:rRNA from 1 species